rnacentral:misc_RNA from 1 species
GAAAUGCGAUAAGUAAUGUGAAUUGCAGAACUCAGUGAAUCAUCGAAUCUUUGAACGCACCUUGCGCUCCUUGGUAUUCCGAGGAGCAUGCCUGUUUGAGUGUCAUGGAAUUCUCAACUCUAUUUGCUUUUGUGAAUAGAGCUUGGAUUUGGAGGUUUAUUGCUGGUACUUGUGAUCGGCUCCUCUUGAAUGCAUUAGCUCGAACCUUUGCGGAUCAGCUAUCGGUGUGAUAAUUGUCUACGCCGUUGCAGUGAAGCAUAUCAAUGGGCUCGGCUUCCAAUCGUCCUUUACUGGACAAUGACUUUGACCUUUGACCUCAAAUCAGGUAGGAUUACCCGCUGAACUUAAGC